AGUGAACGCUGGCGGUAGGCCUAACACAUGCAAGUCGAACGGCAGCACAGUAAUAGCUUGCUCUUACGGGUGGCGAGUGGCGGACGGGUGAGGAAUACAUCGGAAUCUACUUUUUCGUGGGUGAUAACGUAGGGAAACUUACGCUAAUACCGCAUACGACCUACGGGUGAAAGCAUGGGAUCUUCGGACCUUGCGCGAUUGAAUGAGCCGAUGUCGGAUUAGCUAGUUGGCGGGGUAAAGGCCCACCAAGGCGACGAUCCGUAGCUGGUCUGAUAGGAUGAUCAGCCACACUGGAACUGAGACACGGUCCAGACUCCUACGGGAGGCAGCAGUGGGGAAUAUUGGACAAUGGGCGAAAGCCUGAUCCAGCCAUACCGCGUGGGUGAAGAAGGACUUCGGGUUGUAAAGCCCUUUUGUUGGGAAAGAAAAGCAGCAGGUUAAUACCCCGCUGUUCUGACGGUACCAAAAGAAUAAGCACCGGCUAACUUCGUG
rnacentral:rRNA from 1 species